rnacentral:rRNA from 1 species
GACGAACGCUGGCGGCGUGCUUAACACAUGCAAGUCGAACGGAAAGGCCCUGCUUGCAGGGUACUCGAGUUGCGAACGGGUGAGUAACACGUGGGUGCUCUGCCCUGCACUUCGGGAUAAGCCUGGGCAACUGGGUCUAAUACCGGAUAGGAGCUAUUUUUAGUGUGAUGGUUGGAAAGUUUUUUCGGUGUUGGAUGAGCUCGCGGCCUAUCAGCUUGUUGGUGGGGUAAUGGCCUACCAAGGCGGCGAGGGGUAGCCGGCCUGAGAGGGUGGACGGCGACAUUGAGACUGAGGUACGGCACAGACUCCGAAGGGAGGCAGCAGUGGGGAAUAUUGCACAAUGGGCGCAAGCCUGAUGCAGCGACGCCGCGUGGGGGAUGACGGCCUUGGGGUUGUAAAAUACUUUCGCUAGGGACGAAGCUUUUUGUGACGGUACCUAGAUAAGAAGCACCGGCUAACUACGUG